AGAGGUUGCUGGGGAGCUUUGGGGAGGGCUGGUCUCUGUCACACUCCUUUCUCUUCCCCUCUGCUAACCAGGUUCCUUCUUAUCCAGAGGAGCCUGGAGGAGCUCAGGAGACCAGACAAUGGCAUCCGCUGUCCUGUCAGCAAGGCCCCAGGCCCUAGGCUGUGCCCAGGGACAGGAAGUGCUCUCAGAGGAGCAAAGACAGAGAUGAAAGCUCUGGUUGCAACACUUGCUGUCAAUGAUUGGGCCAUGGCCCAUACCUCGGUGUCAUGAAGACCUACUCUCCUUCCAUCUACAUCAUCUCCAACAAGGUUCUUGUCCAUCCACUUGAGAUGACUCCAGGAGAUCAGGUGAUGGUGAACAAGCUCCUACCAGCCAGGCCUCAGGAGCCUGAGCUGAAUCCUCGGUGACAGAUUUCAUAUACUUCGUAGUCUGGAGUCAAGCACUGUGAGUCAACUGUACCUCUACCCCAGCAAUUAUACGAUUUGGAAACAUGGACUGUGUGGCUUUUUCAGAAAAGUUAUAUCAUGUGUAUAUAUAUAUAUUUAUUUAUUU
rnacentral:lncRNA from 1 species